UCUCAGUCUCCCGCUUUUUCUCCUCUCCUCUCUCUCUCUCUCACACUGACGACGGCGAGGGCGGGAGCGGCGCGGUGCGCUCGGGUGGGGCCGGUCGACGUCUGCAGCGGCCACAGCGGUGGGCGGGAGCGGCGCGGCAACGGCGGGCUCGACGGCCGGCGCCCUCCUCCUCCCAGAUCCAGCGGCGGCGCGCUUGGGAGGGGCCGGGAGCGGCCACGGCGGGCGGCGGGAGCGGCGCGGCAGUCCGCUCAAUCCCUCAUCUUCUUCUGUCCUCACGGCCUCCACUUUCUGCUUCGCCUCAUCCAGUCCGCUUCCUCCCCACAUGCCGUUUCCUCUUUCCCAUGGACUGCGUCGGAGAAAUUGCCGAACGUGAAGAGUUUGGGUAGCUCAAUGGGUGGGGAGCAUCGCAGCAGCGGCGGGAGCCCCCGAUCCGUCGAGAUCCAGCGCGGGGAGAGGGUGUGGGACGCGAGUACACCGACGACGAUGGACGCCGUCGAGGAGCUCACGCAGCUGUCGGAGUCGAUGCGCCAGGUGGCGUCGCUGCUGGCCGACGACGACCCCUGUGACGACUCCGCCCCACGCCGCCUCUCCACCUUCGUCAACGCCGUCGCGCUCGGCAACGUUGGGCGGGCAAGAUGGCCGUGCUGAACAGCCUCAUCGGCCACCCCAUGCUGGUGAGCUCGUACUAAUGGCCACCACCUUGCCCUUCUCCGCUUACAGCCGCGCACCCACCCACUGUAGCACACGGGGUGUGGGGAGCAGGUGAUAGGUGAGGCGAGCAACCUCCUCCAUGGCGCCGCCCCAGUGCCGAUGAGCAGCGUCGUCCCUGCUGUUUGAGUGCUGAUGAGAUGGAUGUGGCUGGAUGUUGUUGGUGUGCGGUUGCUCCUAUGCGGGAAGAGCUGCCAGCUGCAGUGGAUGAAAAAUAUCCAUGCAAUUUUCGGCUUGCUAAAUGGUGAAACAAUUAGAGGACCAGAAAGAGGCAGCAAGGAAGAAUGAAGAAGAAACUGAGAAGCUGAGGCAGCAAGGAAGUGAAAUCCAAAGCUUCGUUCGCUCCUUGAUUGGCAGCAAGUUUGCAUCAUUAGAUGCUCAGCAAUGUGCUGCUGUUGCUCUCGAUGUAGGAGGAAGAUGAAAUUUGAGACUUUGGAUAUGUAUUGAAUUAGUGGAUGGAUGUACUGAUAUUGCAUUUUCAGACUUGUGGAGUGUGAAAUGCAUAUGACAUUGCAAUCAUUUGUGGAAUGUUAAUUCAUUUGAAUCUGAUUUUGUAUGUGCAGAAA